GCCUAAUACAUGCAAGUCGAGCGAACUGAUUAGAAGCUUGCUUCUAUGACGUUAGCGGCGGACGGGUGAGUAACACGUGGGCAACCUGCCUGUAAGACUGGGAUAACUUCGGGAAACCGAAGCUAAUACCGGAUAGGAUCUUCUCCUUCAUGGGAGAUGAUUGAAAGAUGGUUUCGGCUAUCACUUACAGAUGGGCCCGCGGUGCAUUAGCUAGUUGGUGAGGUAACGGCUCACCAAGGCAACGAUGCAUAGCCGACCUGAGAGGGUGAUCGGCCACACUGGGACUGAGACACGGCCCAGACUCCUACGGGAGGCAGCAGUAGGGAAUCUUCCGCAAUGGACGAAAGUCUGACGGAGCAACGCCGCGUGAGUGAUGAAGGCUUUCGGGUCGUAAAACUCUGUUGUUAGGGAAGAACAAGUACGAGAGUAACUGCUCCCCCCUUGA
rnacentral:rRNA from 2 species